UCGUACCACUUAUCGAUCUAUCGCAUUUUACGUGGUACAGAACGCUGUCGGACGAGUCGCUGCUGCAGGUACACGAUGCUGCUUGCGGCGGAAACUGUUUUCUAAAUACCAGAAGCCAUUCCAUAAGCCGCAAGACAAGGAUUAUGAAUAAAUAAUACAAAGUUUUGCAUCCGAAUUUUGGAUAUAGCAGUAAACUUUAGUGCAGAGAAGCGUGCACAA